rnacentral:rRNA from 1 species
CCUACGGGGGGCAGCAGUGAGGAAUAUUGGUCAAUGGACGAGAGUCUGAACCAGCCAAGUAGCGUGAAGGAUGACUGCCCUAUGGGUUGUAAACUUCUUUUAUAAAGGAAUAAAACGAGGCACGUGUGCCUUUUUGCAUGUACUUUAUGAAUAAGGAUCGGCUAACUACGUGCCAGCAGCCGCGGUAAUACGGAGGAUCCGAGCGUUAUCCGGAUUUAUUGGGUUUAAGGGGAGCGUAGAUGGGUUGUUAAGUCAGUUGUGAAAGUUUGCGGCUCAACCGUAAAACUGCAUUUGAUACUGGCAGUCUUGAGUACAGUUGAGGUAGGCGGAAUUCGUGGUGUAGCGGUGAAAUGCGUAGAUAUCACGAAGAACCCCGAUUGCGAAGGCAGCUUACUAAACUGUGACUGACAUUGAUGCUCGAAAGUGUGGGUAGCAAACAGGAUUAGAUACCCGGGUAGUC